UACAGAGGGUGCAAGCGUUAAUCGGAAUUACUGGGCGUAAAGCGCGCGUAGGUGGUUUGAUAAGCGAGAUGUGAAAGCCCCGGGCUUAACCUGGGAACGGCAUUUCGAACUGUCAGGCUAGAGUAUGGUAGAGGAGUGUGGAAUUUCCUGUGUAGCGGUGAAAUGCGUAGAUAUAGGAAGGAACACCAGUGGCGAAGGCGGCACUCUGGACCAAUACUGACACUGAAAUACGAAACGUGGACAAACAGGAUUAGAUACCCGGGUAGUCC
rnacentral:rRNA from 1 species